UUACGUAAAGUUAAAGUUUAAAGAUUAUGUAUACUGUGUUUUGUAUUAAAGUGGAAAUUAGUUUUAUAAGUACAAGGUUAUUAACAAGGAUAAGGAGAAAAACUCGCUGGUCAUCUCUUCAUAAGACGGAAGCCUAAUUUUAGUCCUCUUUCCCUUCCCACUUUUAUAAGAAAUAGAUGUGAAGGGAAAGGGGAUUUGACGGAUGACGGACGCAAAGGAAGGAGAAAUAUUCACUUUCAUUAAAGAUUGGCGCUCGGCGGCUGCGGUCGGCCGGUAGAUUGAAACUAAUUUUCUCUCCGUCACGACGAAAGCCGGCGCACCGCCAUUGUACUGAUACUCUGUCAGAUUUUGAAAUGGACAAAAUAUACAACGAGGAAAGAAAACCGCUUUGUCGAGUAUGUUGUUAAAUGGA